rnacentral:rRNA from 1 species
UACGUAGGUGGCAAGCGUUAUCCGGAAUUACUGGGCGUAAAGGGUGCGUAGGUGGUUUCUUAAGUCAGAGGUGAAAGGCUACGGCUCAACCGUAGUAAGCCUUUGAAACUGGGAAACUUGAGUGCAGGAGAGGAGAGUGGAAUUCCUAGUGUAGCGGUGAAAUGCGUAGAUAUUAGGAGGAACACCAGUUGCGAAGGCGGCUCUCUGGACUGUAACUGACACUGAGGCACGAAAGCGUGGGGAGCAAACAGGAUUAGAUACCCGCGUAGUCCCUGAG